rnacentral:rRNA from 1 species
GCCAGACUCCUACGGGAGGCAGCAGUGGGGGAUAUUGCACAAUGGGGGAAACCCUGAUGCAGCGACGCCGCGUGAGUGAAGAAGUAUUUCGGUAUGUAAAGCUCUAUCAGCAGGGAAGAAAAUGACAGUACCUGACCAAGAAGCCCCGGCUAACUACGUGCCAGCAGCCGCGGUAAUACGUAGGGGGCAAGCGUUAUCCGGAUUUACUGGGUGUAAAGGGAGCGUAGACGGUUAUGUAAGUCUGGAGUGAAAGCCCGGGGCCCAACCCCGGGACUGCUUUGGAAACUGUGUAACUGAAGUACAGGAGGGGCAGGCGGAAUUCCUGGUGUAGCGGUGAAAUGCGUAGAUAUCAGGAGGAACACCGGCGGCGAAGGCGGCCUGCUGGACCGUGACUGACGUUGAGGCUCGAGAGCGUGGGGAGCAAACAGGAUUAGAUACCCCCGUAC